UGCCCAGUGUACACAUUAUAAAUGGCCGCAGUACCCUGACUGUGCUAAGGUAGCAUAAUCAAUUGGCUUUUAAUUGAAGUCUGGAAUGAAAGAAUAAAUGAAGUUAUUCUCUCUUAAAAGUACUAUUAAAAAGUUAUUCAUUAGGUGAAAAUACCUAAAUUUAAAUAAAAGACGAGAAGACCCUAAGAGUUUUUAAUAAAAAUAAUGUAUAUUAUUUAUUUUUUUGUUGGGGCGACAGUUUAGCAUUUUAAACCUAAUUUUUGUACAAGGCGAUUAUUUUAAGAAAGAAAAAACUACCUUAGGGAUAACAGCAUAAUUUUUAAAAAAGUUUGUGACCUCGAUGUUGGACUAGGAACUUUAUGGCUAGCAGUCAAAAAAGA
rnacentral:rRNA from 1 species